ACUCCAAAGCCCUUUGCGUGCAGGAGUGUAUGCGCAUGCGCAUUGCCACGGUGGUUUAAAAAAUAAAGAUAUAAUGAAAAGUAAUUAAUAAAAAUUUAAUAUUUAAACAUUCCCACAAAUGUGCAAUGAACGUGCAAAAACUCUCUUUAGUAGUUGUUACUGUUUCUUUCUUUCUUUUUUUUUUUUUUUUUGAAAAAUAACGACGUCUCUGAGGCGCGAAAUCUGACAGCGAGAGGAACGGCCGGAUACAGGAGACGGGAAGAAACAAGCCGAUUAUGUUCGCGUUAAUUAAGUGGUUGGAAGAUGUAAAAUUCUCAAUUCUGCCAACUGAACAUAUACGAGAUUUUAAUGAGGAUGAAUAAUUAGCCGGCAUGGAGGAAACGGACCUUUAUUUCGUGGAGUGGCGACAAGAAGCCAAGGCGGGUGGCCAGUCUAAGAAGCCUCCAUCAUCAAGCUAGCAGGUGCCUUUUCCCAUAUAAUAUUACUUUAUUCUCGUGUAUUUGGAACGGAAGCGUAGAGCUGCCACCCAGGCAAAAGAGAAAUAUAAGUAUAUCACGUUAUAACGUGAAAAGUUUAUCGUUCUAACAAUAUACUAUCAUGUUUGAACAACAUGUUUGAACAACAUUGUACGAAAAAUGUACAUAAUUAUCACGUCCGUACAAAAUUGUGCGAACGUGACAAUUAUGUAUAUUAUAAUAACGUGAUAUUAUAUUAUACAAACAUGAAAAGCAUAAUGUUAGAACAAUAAACAUUUCACGUCAUAACGUGAUACAGCUCUAUUUUUCUUUUGUCUGGGUGGCAGCUCCACGCUUCCAUAAUUUGGUAAUCAAAAUAUGUAACUUAAUUAAUUAUAUUGUGACGUACUUUUGCCUUUUCUUAUUAUUCUGCCUUCUCAAUAACUAUCAAAGCCUAUUCACAUUUAAUUUGGCUUUCACAGAAAUCCUACCUCUCCUUCUGGCUACAGAGUACUUACCAAGCCCAUGAAAUCGAAUGCAGAUCUUCCUAAUGUGAGAUUUACAUAAAUAUGUCAAAGUCUCAACCUCAUGCUGCCCUCCCCCAUCCUCCUAAACCUGUGGAUACAAAUGCAGAUUUCCUUAAUGUUCAAUGGUGCGUGUUCUUCUAAUGGCCGCCUUCCCACUGGAGGUUUUGAUCCACAGCAAUUUAAAAGGAGGACAGAGCAAAACGGACG